rnacentral:rRNA from 1 species
UACGGAGGGUGCAAGCGUUAUCCGGAUUCACUGGGGUUAAAGGGUGCGUAGGUGGGUUGGUAAGUCCGUGGUGAAAUCUCCGAGCUUAACUCGGAAACUGCCGUGGAUACUAUCAAUCUUGAAUACUGUGGAGGUAAGCGGAAUAUGUCAUGUAGCGGUGAAAUGCUUAGAUAUGACAUAGAACACCAAUUGCGAAGGCAGCUCACUACACAAUCAUUGACUCUGAGGCACGAAAACGUGGGGAUCAAACAGG